rnacentral:rRNA from 1 species
CCUACGGGAGGCAGCAGUGGGGAAUAUUGGACAAUGGUGGGAACACUGAUCCAGCGACGCCGCGUGAGUGAAGAAGUUUUACAGUACGUAAAGCCCUAUCAGCCGGAAAGCAAAUGCCGGGACGUGACUAAGGAGCCCCGGCCCAAUACGGGACCCCAGCCGCAGGAACAAGUAGGGGGCAAGCGUUAUCCGGAUUUACUGGGGGUAAAGGGGGCGUAGGCGGGAGCGCAAGUCUGGAGUGAAAUGCCGGGGGCCAACCCCCGAACCGCCGUGGAAACUGGGGCGCUGGAGUGGGGGAGAGGUAAGCGGAAUGCCCGGUGUAGCGGUGAAAUGCGUAGAUAUCGGGAGGAACACCGGCGGCGAAGGCGGCGUACCGGA